AUUGAACGCUGGCGGCAGGCUUAACACAUGCAAGUCGAGCGGGGUGAUGGUGCUUGCACUAUCACUUAGCGGCGGACGGGUGAGUAAUGCUUAGGAAUCUGCCUAUUAGUGGGGGACAACAUCUCGAAAGGGAUGCUAAUACCGCAUACGUCCUACGGGAGAAAGCAGGGGAUCACUUGUGACCUUGCGCUAAUAGAUGAGCCUAGGUCGGAUUAGCUAGUUGGUGGGGUAAAGGACUACCAAGGCGACGAUCUGUAGCGGGUCUGAGAGGAUGAUCCCCCAAACUGGGACUGAGACACGGCCCAGACUCCUUCGGGAGGCAGCCGUGGGGAAUAUUGGACAAUGGGGGGAACCCUGAUCCAGCCAUGCCGCGUGUGUGAAGAAGGCCUUAUGGUUGUAAAGCACAUUAAGCGAGUAGGAGGCUCUUUUGGUUAAUACCCAAGAUGAGUGGACGUUACUCGCAGAAUAAGCACCGGCUAACUCUGUGCCAGCCGCCGCGGUAA
rnacentral:rRNA from 1 species